rnacentral:lncRNA from 1 species
CGAGAGAACUCCUAUUAGCCUGUCUUGACCCUUUGUUGUUCUUUCAUUGUAUGGAUGGUAUUUCUGUUAAUUUUGCCUUUUCUGUCAUGAUGAAUCUCUUGGCUCAUUCUGUAGGAAAGGGGCCUGAAGUACUUGAGGUUUGGGCAGCGUAACCAAUGUUGAAUAGGCUAGUGAAACAGAACAUAGUUCUCAAGAGUGUGUCUGAGUUUCCUGCAGCAUCAGGAGAGGGAGACAGAGACACCAUGACUUCUACCAAGAUGCUGCUGCUCUUGCUGUCCAUGGCUUUGGUCGCCCUGUGCUCUGCUCAGGGCAUCAGUGAUGAUGAUGAAUUAUUGGAAGAGAGCCCAGAGGAAUUACAAGUCCAACCUCAAGAAGAAAAUGGAGAUCCGAGAGGCAAACCUGGAGACAAAGGCCAUGGUCCACCAAAGAAGCCUCAUAACCAGGGUAUCCAGGGAGGCCCCAAAGGCCCACAUGGCCCAGGUGGCCCUCAAGGACCAGGUAGCCAACAAGGACCAGGUGGCCCACAAGGACCAGCUGGCCAAGGUCAUCCAGGUGGCCAGGGUCGUCCAGGUGGCCCACAAGGAUCAGCUGGCCAACAGGGACCAGGUAGCCCACAAGGACCAGGUGGCCAAGGUCAUCCAGGUGCCCAACAAGGACACGGUAGCCAACAAGGACCAGGUGGCCAAGGUGGUCCAGGUGGCCCACGAAAACCAGCUGGCCAACAAGGACCCGGGGGGCAAGGUGGUCCAGGAGGCCAACAAGGACCAGGUGGCCCACAAGGACCAGCUGGCCAACAAGGACCAGGUAGCCAACAAGGACCAGGUGG